rnacentral:rRNA from 1 species
GUUGGGUAGGGGAGCGUUCUGUAAGCCUGUGAAGGUGGCCUGUGAGGGUUGCUGGAGGUAUCAGAAGUGCGAAUGCUGACAUAAGUAACGAUAAAGCGGGUGAAAAGCCCGCUCGCCGGAAGACCAAGGGUUCCUGUCCAACGUUAAUCGGGGCAGGGUGAGUCGACCCCUAAGGCGAGGCCGAAAGGCGUAGUCGAUGGGAAACGGGUUAAUAUUCCCGUACUUGGUGUUACUGCGAAGGGGGGACGGAGAAGGCUAUGUUGGCCGGGCGACGGUUGUCCCGGUUUAAGCGUGUAGGUGUGUGUUCCAGGUAAAUCCGGUUCACUUUAACACUGAGGCGUGACGACGAGGCACUACGGUGCUGAAGCAACAAAUGCCCUGCUUCCAGGAAAAGCCUCUAAGCAUCAGGUAACAUCAAAUCGUACCCCAAACCGACACAGGUGGUCAGGUAGAGAAUACCAAGGCGCUUGAGAGAACUCGGGUGAAGGAACUAGGCAAAAUGGUGCCGUAACUUCGGGAGAAGGCACGCUGACACGUAGGUGAAGUGAUUUACUCAUGGAGCUGAAGUCAGUCGAAGAUACCAGCUGGCUGCAACUGUUUAUUAAAAACACAGCACUGUGCAAACACGAAAGUGGACGUAUACGGUGUGACGCCUGCCCGGUGCCGGAAGGUUAAUUGAUGGGGUCAGCGCAAGCGAAGCUCCUGAUCGAAGCCCCGGUAAACGGCGGCCGUAACUAUAACGGUCCUAAGGUAGCGAAAUUCCUUGUCGGGUAAGUUCCGACCUGCACGAAUGGCGUAAUGAUGGCCAGGCUGUCUCCACCCGAGACUCAGUGAAAUUGAACUCGCUGUGAAGAUGCAGUGUACCCGCGGCAAGACGGAAAGACCCCGUGAACCUUUACUAUAGCUUGACACUGAACAUUGAGCCUUGAUGUGUAGGAUAGGUGGGAGGCUUUGAAGUGUGGACGCCAGUCUGCAUGGAGCCGACCUUGAAAUACCACCCUUUAAUGUUUGAUGUUCUAACGUGGACCCGUGAUCCGGGUUGCGGACAGUGUCUGGUGGGUAGUUUGACUGGGGCGGUCUCCUCCUAAAGAGUAACGGAGGAGCACGAAGGUUGGCUAAUCCUGGUCGGACAUCAGGAGGUUAGUGCAAUGGCAUAAGCCAGCUUGACUGCGAGCGUGACGGCGCGAGCAGGUGCGAAAGCAGGUCAUAGUGAUCCGGUGGUUCUGAAUGGAAGGGCCAUCGCUCAACGGAUAAAAGGUACUCCGGGGAUAACAGGCUGAUACCGCCCAAGAGUUCAUAUCGACGGCGGUGUUUGGCACCUCGAUGUCGGCUCAUCACAUCCUGGGGCUGAAGUAGGUCCCAAGGGUAUGGCUGUUCGCCAUUUAAAGUGGUACGCGAGCUGGGUUUAGAACGUCGUGAGACAGUUCGGUCCCUAUCUGCCGUGGGCGCUGGAGAACUGAGGGGGGCUGCUCCUAGUACGAGAGGACCGGAGUGGACGCAUCACUGGUGUUCGGGUUGUCAUGCCAAUGGCACUGCCCGGUAGCUAAAUGCGGAAGAGAUAAGUGCUGAAAGCAUCUAAGCACGAAACUUGCCCCGAGAUGAGUUCUCCCUGAGACUUAGAGUC